GUUCUUGAAAUUUAAAAAAUUUGGCGGUAUUUUAGUCUUUUCAGUGGAACCUGCCCUAUAAUUGAUAGUCCACGAUUUAUUGUACUUAAUUUAAUAGUUUGUAUAUCGUUGUAGUUGAAUAUCUUAUAAGAGUUAAAAUAUUCAAUAUUUAUAAUUUUAUAGAAAAAAUCAAAUCAAGAUACAGUUUAUAUUUAAGAAGAGGUGGGUUACAAUAAAUUUAUUUAUAGUUAUAGUAAUUAAAAUUAUUAUUUAAAUUGGAUUUGAAAGUAAUUUUAUUUUAAUUAAAAUAAGUGAUUUAAGCUCUAAAAUAUGCACAUAUCGCCCGUCGCUUCCAUUGAAAUUUUUAAAUUGGAAUAAGUCGUAACAUAGUAGGUGUACCGGAAGGUGUACCUAGAUUGCAAAUUAAAGCUUAAAUAAAAAGUAUCUUAUUUACAUUAAGAGGAUAGUUGUGUAACUCAAUUUAGUUUGAAUUUAAGUAUUUAUAUUUUAUUUUUUUUUAUUUAAAAAAAAUAUUUUUUUGUUUAUUUAUAAAUUUAGAUAAAAUUAAAAUAAUUAUAGAUUAUUAGUAUAGUGGUAGAUUAUUUAAAAAUUUGAAAAUUUAAAUAUUUAGAAGAAAAAUUUAUUUUUUGUACCUUGUGUAUCAGGGUUUAUUAAAUAAUAGUUAUUAAAUUUAAUUUUCUCGAAUUUAAAAGAGCUAAUAAAUUAUAUAUUUUAUUGUAAAAUAAAUAUUUAAAAUAAUUUUUUAGUAAUGAAACGUUAGUCGUUUUUAAAUUUAUCUAGUUUUUUAAGAAAUAAAUUAAAUUUAGUUAUUUAUUUUAAUUAAAAUAAAUUUUUAUUUUAUAUUAAUAUGAUUAAUUAAUAUUUUAAGGGAUAAGCUUUAGAAUAAAAUUUUUAAAAAUUAAAUUUAAUAUAUAUAUAAUGUAUUAUAUAUACAUAUAUAUUAUAUAUAUACAUAUAAAUUAGUAGGAUUAGAAAUUUUUAUCUUUGAUAAUGUGUUAUAAUAAAUUUAUUUUUAUAUUAAAUUUUUAUAUAAUUUUAAAUUAUUUAUUAAAAUUAUUUAUUUAAUGAAAAAUUAUGUGUAAUAAUGAUAAAAUUAGUAUAAUUUUUAUGUUAAUUUACUUUGUAUAAUAAAGGUUAAAUUAAGGAAUUCGGCAAAUAAAUUUUCUGCCUGUUUAUUAAAAACAUGUCUUUUUGAUUAUAAUUUAAAGUCUGACCUGCCCUAUGAAAUUUUAUUUUAAAUGGCCGCGGUAUUUUGACCGUGCAAAGGUAGCAUAAUCAUUAGUUUCUUGAUUAGGAACUGGUAUGAAUGGUUGGACAAGAAAAUUACUGUCUCAAUUUAAUUUCUAUUAAAAUUUUAUUUUUAAGUUAAAAAGCUUAAAUAAUUUUAAAAGACGAGAAGACCCUAUAGAGUUUUAUAUUGUUUUAUUUAUUUGAAAUUUUUAGUAGUUUAUAUUUAAUUAAAAAUAAUAAUAUUUAGUUGGGUGAUUGAAAAAUUUAAUUAACUUUUUUUAAAAAUUAAACA
rnacentral:rRNA from 1 species